rnacentral:rRNA from 1 species
UACGUAGGGUGCAAGCGUUAAUCGGAAUUACUGGGCGUAAAGCGUGCGCAGGCGGUUUUGUAAGUUUGCUGUGAAAGCCCCGGGCUCAACCUGGGAAUUGCGAUGGUGACUGCAAGGCUAGAGUUUGGCAGAGGGGGGUAGAAUUCCACGUGUAGCAGUGAAAUGCGUAGAGAUGUGGAGGAACACCGAUGGCGAAGGCAGCCCCCUGGGUCAAAACUGACGCUCAUGCACGAAAGCGUGGGGAGCAAACAGG